rnacentral:rRNA from 1 species
GAUGAACGCUGGCGGCGUGCCUAAUACAUGCAAGUCGAGCGAACAGACGCUGAUCUUGCUCCUCUGACGUUAGCGGCGGACGGGUGAGUAACACGUGGAUAACCUACCUAUAAGACUUGGAUAACGUCGGGAAACCGGAGCUAAUACCGGAUAAUAUAUUGAACCGCAUGGUUCAAUAGUGAAAUACGGUUUUGCUGUCACUUAUAGAUGUAUCCGCGCCGGUUUGGCUAGUUGGUAAUGUAACGGCUUACCAAGGCCACCAUGCGUAGCCGAACGGAGAGGGUGAAGCGCGACACUGAGAGUGGACCGCGGUACAGGGUCCUACGGGAGGCACCAGUAGCGAAGCUUCCGCAAUGGGCGAAAGCCUGACGGAGCAACGCCGCGUGGGUGAUGAAAGUCUUCGGAUCGUAAAACUGUGUUAUUAGGGAAAAACAAAUGUGUAAGUAACUAAGCACGUCUUGACGGUACCUAAUCAGAAAGCCACGGCUAACUACGUG